CUUGUGUGCUUUCUCUAUCUUGUAGCUAUCGGUUUGUUUUUAUUCCAUAUGCUUCUCAUUGAUAUUAUUUAUUUGUAAAGAUUUGUCUAUACUUGAUGCAAUAUUCACCGAUUAUGUAAAUCAAAUCAAUUGUUGGUUGAAAUAUUUUCUGAUAAAAAUGAAACCACAUGUUUGUGAUGUGUGUAAUAAAUCAUUUACGCAUGUUGGAAACUUACGACAACAUAAUUUAACCCAUACUGGUGAGAAACCUUAUAGCUGCAUGGUGUGUAAAAAGGCUUUUACUCACAUUAGUAACCUGAGACAGCAUGUACUAAUCCACAGUGGAGAAAAACCGCACAUAUGUAAUGAAUGUGGCAAAGGUUUUACUCAUAUCAGUAAUUUGCGACAACAUAGUCUUACCCAUUCUGGUGUUAAGCCUCAUUCUUGUAAUGAAUGUGGUAAAAGCUUCACACAUUUAAGCAAUCUGCGGCAACACACCCUGACUCAUUCUGGUCAAAAACCUCAUGUAUGCCAUGAAUGUAAUAAAAGAUUUACACAUGCAAGUAAUUUACGACAGCAUAGUCUUUCUCACAGAACUGUCCAUGCUCAUCAGUGUGUGGUGUGUAAAAACUCCUUUGCAUCCCUUUCUAGUCUACAGCAACACUAUAUGGCUCAUCUGACUGAGAAGAAUGAUUCUGGCAUAAUUAAUAAUCAUGCAAACACUGUAAAUAUUAUUCAUUUAUGAUCAAUAUUUUUGUAUGCAAGAUGUAAAUAAGGGCAUUGUUUAUAGUCAUUUGUCCAUUUUCAAAAUAAAAUUGGUUUGUAUUUGAUGUGUAAAAAAGAAAAAAGAUUUUAAAAUUGAA